ACGGGCCCAACAUUCUGAAUUUUGAUGUGAUCUUUUUAGCGUCAUAACAAAAUAUCAAUACUUAACUGUAUUAUUGAUUUUCUCGUAUAAUAACAGUACAACAUUAGUCUACGGAGAAAACAGAAAGAGGCAUUUCUUAUUAUCAAUGUUUACAAGUCUGCUUUGGGAAAAUAUGAUUAAUUGAGUCACCUUUUUUUCCAUACAUCUAGAAAGAGACGAAUACGGUCUUAAAGUUAAUCCAGAGUCGCCAUGGAAUUACAGGAAUCUUCAGCUCUGAUUUCUCCUCCAUUCUCCUUUUUGUUUCCUCUGCUGAGCCACUUAGAAGUUAGGAUCAAAGUUUGUCCCUCUGUUAUCCCCAAAUGUCAAUUCAAUGUGAUUAAUGGUCAGCCUCUAUUACAUUCUGUGCUAAUCUAAAUUCCAUAAAAAUGUUUGAACAAAUUACCAUGUCCAUAUACAGAAUCUACCAAAAAUAAAUAUGCAGAAAGAGCAAAAAGAAGAUACAUAUAAUGUUUUACAAUCAAUGCCUAUAUUUCAUUCCUAUGAUAAACUGAUGUCAAUGGAUGGAGGAGUGGGGAUACUGAAAUGAAACGAAUAAUGAAACUCAAUCUAUCAAUAUCAUGCAUCAUCUGUAAGGCAAACAUUGAACUCUAAUAUUACAAAAUAGCAUAAUAAAUGAAAAAGAUAGAAAGACAGACAGGAAGGAAUAUAGACAUGUGACAUUCAAAAAUAAAUAAAUUUCCUACCUCUUCGGUGUCUCAUAAUCAUCUCUCUCUCUCUUAUUUACUCUUGGUUAUACAAAGUACCAUGGUCCAAAGACGCUGCAAAUCACUUGUCCAAGGGUCAUGGUAAGCAUAUUCGUAGAUGUCGUGUCAAACAAAAUGUUUGUGGUUAGGGUACUUCAAAAGCUUUUCAUAAACUUUUUUCAUUGCUAGUAACUUUCAGAAUCUCAAGCUUUAGACACAUUACAACCAUAUCUCAUAAUAUAUGAGUCACAAGCAAUAAAUAGAAAAAACAACCAAAUUAAAGUAGUAUCAUUUGGGUUUGUGAAUAUCUUCUUCGUUUAUCAUAUGCUAGGAGAAGCAGUUGACAUGAUAAUACAAAAUGAACAUGAGUUCAUACAUCACAAAAUAUGAAGAUCGAUAAUAGAAUUUGAACACUAAAUUCAAGUAACAAUAAUAAAAACAUCCAAAUAAUGAGAGUUAAAGAAUCAAAUAGUACCCUUUGAUAAAUGCUACUAUUGCAAUAGCACAAUCUUUACUUGUUAACUAUUGUCAAUCUGGAAGUUGUGUACGAAGUACAUUCUUUCUAUUUGUUAGUAAUAGACUUCCAAAAUAGUAAUCCUUAUCAUCCAACAAAAGUUGCACUUAUAGGUUAGGCUUGUUUUUUCUCCACCAAUUGAUAUCAAUUAUCACGAGAAAGAAACCAUUUGACAUUCAAUUUUAUCAACACUUUUCCUUCUAUCAUAAUGUCUUGAAAGUUCUGAAAUAAUAAGUCUUAUGAUUUAUCAUCUGGUCCACUAAGUUGAUGGCAUACAUAUUCUUGUCUUUUGAGUAUAUACAUGGAUGAACACUCUUUAUAUAAGAGUUGAUAUUUUAUACUUUCUGAGCUCAGUUGAAGUCUACUUGUACUUGAAUAGAAAUAAAAUAAAUCUUUCCUAAAAAUUCCCAAACCCCUAUUCUUUCCCAAUCAGAAGAAACAACAAGAGUUUGUGUACUCUGAAAUUAUGUGCAGAAUUUUCCCACCAUCAAUCAUUAUUAGCAUUAAAAACAGACUCGAGACACCAUACAAGAAACAAAUCUGAAAUAUUCUAUGCAUACUCAUCACCAUUUUGAAGCACCCAAUAUUAUUCAUAUGCAUGAACUGAUUUCCGUUAAAUAACAACAAUAAUCUAAUCGAAAAAUGGCAAUAAUCGAGCAAAACGACGUUAGAUUACCUACUGCUCGAUCUCAGGGACCUUCUAUACUCUCAAAUUCAACUCUCUCUCUCUCUCUCUCUCUGGGGUACAAAUUGACACAUAAAACAAUUAAAUUAAAGCUAAUCUUGAUUAUCAAAAAUUAAAAGAUAAUAACUUGUUCUCCCAAGAAAAUAUAGAAUUCAAGGAACUUACUAAUGGUAUCGAGUGAUGUACUUCUCAUCUUGCUCAUCUCGAGUUCCAUCCGCCUUGUUGUCCCUACUACAAGCCCAAUACUGUUUUCUGUUAAGUUCAACUUUUGAAAUUAGAACGAAUUGCCUUACCAAAAAGAAAAAGGGUAAGACUCAUUAACCAACUCCAAUCCAAUAUAGAUCGUAAGUAAGUUGAAAGGCAAUCAAAUAAUUGACAGAACGUGAAUGCAUUACUAACCUUUGGGAAUUUUAGUCACAUAGCAUGUCUAUAUUUUUAUUGAGUUCUUCCCAAUACCCCUGAGGAUUAUGCGACUGACGCAAAUAACCUUAAUGUGUCAGCCCAAAAAGUCAAGCCCAAGCUUGGUUCUCUCUGAUUUUUCUACAAUUAUUGAUUGCAGUGUUCAUCCUUCUCUUGCUCAUUUAUAUAUAAGGGUAAUAUUAGUGCGAUUUGAAUCUAAAUAUUCCUUCAACAUCUGAAAAUGGACACAAUAUAUAUUGAAUAAGUUGAAAAUAGAGAAUCUACAUGAUUGAAGAACUUUAUCAACAUAUUGAAACAAUACUUUCCAAGAAUUUAAAAGUCAGUGAAUGAAUUUUAAUUUAAAGUGAAAAGAAGCCUACGAGGGAAAGAAGAUGUUUCAUCUUCACAUGAGCAACUAUGAACUCCAAACACAAAAGUCCACUGUAAUAAAGUUCAAAUUGGCAUAAAGCUUGUAAAUGAUUGUGACUGCCAUGAUUGUAAGGUUUUUCUCGAAAGACCUCACACCAUUAAGAGAAUCUACAUCUUAUAUGUAGUUUCCAAUCUUUUCUUGAGAGAUACAUUAGCUCUCUGGACUAAGUCCAAUAAUGUGUCAACACAACCAUAAUGAACAUAAAAAGAUACUGAUUUUGUGGCUCUUAGUAAAUAUAAUUAAUCACAACAACCCUCUAGAUCUUAAUCCCUACUCUUGAUUUUCCCAUCUGUAACCAUGUAACGAAAAAGCGAAUGAGUAUUUUAUUUUCCAUAGGUAUUUAGUACUCACUUUCUAGAUGACCACACCUUGUAGAUUAAUACCAAUGCAAUCAUUAUUUAAGUACAUGAAGUGAUGUACAGUCUAGAGUAAAUAUGAAUAAAUAUAGAAAAGAGAAGCUCACAGAGGCGUGAUCCUCGAGCGCAUAUCAUUCUGGAACACUGGGAAUGAAGUAAUUUCACUGUACCUUGCUCAUACCUCUUUCUCUCGCUCUCCCUGUCUAUGUUUUUUUAAAAAUAUAUGAAAAAUACAACGUUUCUCUUUUUCUAAAGUUGUAGUGAUUGAUGUCCGAAGGAUUUUAAACAUACCAUAUCCCACAUAAAGAAGAAGAGACAGGCUCUGAGUCUCACAUUGCCCUGUUUUGCUCCAUUUUACAAUGAUCCAUCACUACACAUCCCUUCAAAUUUGCUUGUUCUUUCUGAUAAUAAUCACCCCACACUACAAAAAUCAUGUAAAUAUCAAAUGUAUAAGUGAGGAAUGGUAUCUGUAGGGAAAAGAAAUGAAAAAGUCUUUUAGUUGGUUAGAACAUACUAUCAAACACCUUUGUUGCACCAAUUCUUAAAUUAAGUUAAUCAUGCAAUAUAAAUUUUAACGAUAGAACACAGAAUUUGCAACACAUCUCAUAAGAUUGCACCUGAAUAUCUCAAUUCAAACAUGAAUAUUGAAUAAGCAUAUCAAAAAAAUUGGUACAUGCAUAUUGAAACCCAAUAGGAAACAACCCAAAAGAACAAGUGACGAUUACAGAUAAUGAGAGUGCAAUAACUAAAGAACGAUUGCUUUAAAACCUCAAAAAACAUAAAUAGCAACUCCUUCCACUUCUUCGCGUUUCAACCCCAGAGCAGGUAGAUGUAACAGAAGUAAGAUUAUCGGGAAAAUUAAAUUAAAGUGAACUAAACUAUCAGCACAGAAAGCACCUUAGAUGCAGUGUGUGCAUUAAAGAAAAGAUCCAGAGUUAUAUACGUAUCUAUUUAUAUUUUGAAUCAUGCAUAAGCAAAAUAGAUAAAAUUGAUGAUACGCACACAUAAGAAUCCAAAAAAUAAUUGAAAUGUUGUGUUUCAACCGCUUUGUUCUUGAUGUGGGCAUUUUUUAAAUUUGUUAAUUUUUUACCAUAGGUCGUUGCAUGUACUUGGAGAAGAAAGGAAAGGAAGAAAUUAAAAAGAUGAGUUACAGGGAACAUCGAGCUUAGAUGGAAGUCCUUCAUGGAAUCCAUGGUUGGAUCUUCCCAAUAAAAAAACAAUUCAAAAUGUGAAUUUCAAAAAGGAUUAGUACCUGCUUUGUUAUAUUUGUUCCUUUUUUGGUGUAACCUUCAGAGCAGGUUUAUUAAUUACCAGCAAGUAAAGAGACAGAAUAUAAGAGCACCAACGGAAAAUUCAUUGACAUAGCAGAGUCUUUAUGAGUAUCUGGGUAGUUAUAUUUGUUGCAUAUUCUGAUUUCUCUAAAGUAAAAGGUUGUUACAUUCAAUUAUUGGCAAAUGAAAGUAGAACAGAGUCAUUACGGAAAAGCAAAAAUUUAAAAAGACGACGAUGAAAUGAAGAAAAUUAGAGAACAUAGAAACAAAAUCUAAACUCGAUUAGAAACAUGCAAGUAGAAAAAUCCACAAUAAACUCACCUCUAUUAAAAAUAUGCAAGUAGAAAAUUGAUUGGCAAAAGAAAAUUCAACAUUAAACUAAUCUCCGUUAGGAACAUGCAAGUAGAAAAUUUCAGAACAAACUAAGAAAAAAAUCAGAAAAUCACCCAAGAAUUGGAUCCAAAAUUGACAACAGAUCUACCUCUAAUAAAAACGAAAAUCAGGGGGAAAAGGGGUGAGAAAAAUAAGAAAAUCAAAAUCUGAAAAAUCUAAACAAAAGAGUGAGAAGAUUAAGUAAACUAAAAACUUAUAAGAAGAAAAGCAGAGAUUUUAAUCUGAAGGCCAAAAACUUACCAGUUUUAACUUUCUCUUGAAAGAGAUUGAAUUGAGAGCUCUAAUUACUCUUAGAAAGCAAUCUCAAUUGCUCACACGUGGAAAUAAAAAGACUUCAGUUGUCAAUACCCAAUCAAAUUGAGCCACAAAGGACCAAAAACUAUGAGG
rnacentral:lncRNA from 1 species